rnacentral:rRNA from 1 species
UGGCGAACGGGUUAGUAACGCGUGGGAACAUACACAGCACAGGGGGAUAACCAUUGGAAACGAUGGCUAAUACCGCAUACGCCCUAUUGGGGAAAGAUUUAUCGGUGUUGGAUUGGCCCGCGUUAGAUUAGCUAGUUGGUGGGGUAAUGGCUCACCAAGGCGACGAUUUAUAGCUGGUUUGAGAGGAUGAUCAGCAACACUGGAACUGAGACACGGUCCAGACUCCUACGGGAGGCAGCAGUCGGGAAUAUUGUGCAAUGGGGGCAACCCUGACACAGCCAUGCCGCGUGAGUGAAGAAGGCCUUAGGGUUGUAAAGCUCUUUCAGAUGUGAGGAUGAUGACGAUAGCAUCAGAAGAAGCUCCGGCUAACUUCGUGCCAGCAGCCGCGGUAAUACGAAGGGAGCUAGCGUUGUUCGGAAUUACUGGGCCGUAAAGGGCGUGUAGGCGGAUUAUCAAGUUAGGGGUGAAAUCCCGGGGCU